rnacentral:rRNA from 1 species
CAGGACGAACGCUGGCGGCGUGCCUAAUACAUGCAAGUCGAACGGUCUUUCUAUGGAAGCUUGCUUCCACUGAGAAGAUAGUGGCGAACGGGUGAGUAACACGUGGGUAACCUGCCCAUAAGAGGGGGGAUAACAUCCGGAAACGGGUGCUAAUACCGCAUAGUUUUCUUGAUCGCAUGAUUGAGAAAGGAAAGACAGCCUUUGUGCUGUCGCUUAUGGAUGGACCCGCGGCGUAUUAGUUAGUUGGUGAGGUAACGGCUCACCAAGACGAUGAUACGUAGCCGACCUGAGAGGGUGAUCGGCCACAUUGGGACUGAGACACGGCCCAAACUCCUACGGGAGGCAGCAGUAGGGAAUCUUCCGCAAUGGACGAAAGUCUGACGGAGCAACGCCGCGUGAGUGAAAGAAGGUUUUCGGAUCGUAAAACUCUGUUGUCAGAGAAGAACAAGUUGGAGAGUAACUGCUCCAGCCUUGACGGUAUCUGACCAGAAAGCCACGGCUAACUACGUGCCAGCCGCGGC